GUGAAUCAUCAAAUCUUUGAACACAAAUUGCGCUUCCUAGCAUCCCGGGAAGUAUGCCUGUUUGAGGGUCAGUAUUAACAAAAAAAUCGGUGGGUGUGCAAAUUGGGACGGUUGCGGCGUUUGGGCUAUCUUAACUUUUUGGGUUAGGGGGCUUAAAAUUUACCUUUUUUGCUCAUUUUUAGACGUACGUAAAUUUUUUUUUAUUCGUCUAUUCUUAAUGCCAAAAUCUU
rnacentral:misc_RNA from 1 species